rnacentral:rRNA from 1 species
AGUUUGAUCAUGGCUCAGGAUGAACGCUGGCGGCGUGCUUAACACAUGCAAGUCAAGGGGGCCCAGCAAUGGGCAACCGGCGAACGGGUGCGUAACACGUGAGCAACCUACCCAGGUGUGGGGGAUAGCCGUCCCAACGGACGGGUAAUACCGCAUACGCUCUUCUUUAGGCAUUUAGAGAAGAGGAAACCUUCGGGGCACCAUGAGGGGCUCGCGGCCUAUCAGCUUGUUGGCGAGGUAACGGCUCACCAAGGCUACGACGGGUAGCUGGUCUGAGAGGAUGGCCAGCCACAUUGGGACUGAGAAACGGCCCAGACUCCUACGGGAGGCAGCAGUGGGGAAUCUUGCGCAAUGGCCUAACGGCUGACGCAGCGACGCCGCGUGAGGGAUGACGCUCUUCGGAGUGUAAACCUCUUUUGCCUGGAACGAAUUGCCACCAUCAGGUGGCUUGACGGUACCGGGUGAAUAAGCACCGGCUAACUCCGUGCCAGCAGCCGCGGUAAUACGGGGGGUGCGAGCGUUGUCCGGAAUCACUGGGCGUAAAGGGCGCGUAGGUGGCGUGAUAAGGGUGUGGUGAAAGCCCGGGGCUCAACCCCGGGUCGGCCAUGCCGACUGUCAGGCUAGAGUACUGUAGGGGCAGG